rnacentral:rRNA from 1 species
AUGAACGCUAGCGACAGGCUUAACACAUGCAAGUCGAGGGGUAACAGGGUAGCAAUACCGCUGACGACCGGCGCACGGGUGAGUAACGCGUAUGCAACCUGCCUAUAACUGUGGAAUAGCUCCCUGAAAGGGGAAUUAACACCGCAUAACACUAUUGAUUCGCAUGGAUUGGUAGUUAAAUGUAGCGAUACAGGUUAUAGAUGGGCAUGCGUGACAUUAGCUAGUUGGUGAGGUAACGGCUCACCAAGGCUACGGUGUCUAGGGGUUCUGAGAGGAAGGUCCCCCCACACUGGUACUGAGACACGGUCCAAACUCCUACGGGAGGCAGCAGUGAGGAAUAUUGGUCAAUGGGCGCAAGCCUGAACCAGCCAUGUCGCGUGCAGGAAGACUGCCCUAUGGGUUGUAAACUGCUUUUAUAGUAGAAGAAACACAUCUACGUGUAGAUGUCUGCCAGUAUACUAUGAAUAAGCAUCGGCUAACUCCGUGCCAGCCGCUGC